rnacentral:rRNA from 1 species
AUACGAAGGGGGCUAGCGUUGUUCGGAUUUACUGGGCGUAAAGCGCACGUAGGCGGAUUGAUUAGUUAGGGGUGAAAUCCCGAGGCUCAACCUCGGAACUGCCUCUAAAACUGUCAAUCUCGAGACCGGAAGAGGUGAGUGGAACUCCUAGUGUAGAGGUGGAAUUCGUUGAUAUUAGGAAGAACACCAGUGGCGAAGGCGGCUCACUGGUCCGGUACUGACGCUGAGGUGCGAAAGCGUGGGGAGCGAACAGGAUUAGAAACCCCAGUAGUCC